rnacentral:rRNA from 1 species
CUACGGGCGGCUGCAGUGAGGAAUAUUGCACAAUGGGGGGAACCCUGAUGCAGCAACGCCGCGUGGAGGAUGACGCAUUUCGGUGUGUAAACUCCUUUUAUAUGUCAAGAAAAUGACGGUAGCAUAUGAAUAAGCACCGGCUAACUCCGUGCCAGCAGCCGCGGUCAAUAGCGGAGGGUGCAAGCGUUACUCGGAAUCACUGGGCGUAAAGGACGCGUAGGCGGGUUGGAAAGUCAGGUGUGAAAUCCUACAGCUUAACUGUAGAACUGCACUUGAAACUUCUAAUCAAGAGUAUGGGAGGGGGAGAUGGAAUUAGUGGUGUAGGGGUAAUAUCCGUAGAUAUCACUAGGAAUACCUAAAGCGAAGGCGAUCUCCUGGAACAUUACUGACGCUAAGGCGUGAAAGCGUGGGGAGCAAACAGGAUUAGAUACCCCAGUAGUC